rnacentral:rRNA from 1 species
AUUGAACGCUGGCGGCAUGCUUUACACAUGCAAGUCGAACGGUAACAGGGAGCUUGCUCCGCUGACGAGUGGCGAACGGGUGAGUAAUGCGUCGGAACGUGCCGAGUAGUGGGGGAUAACGCAUCGAAAGGUGUGCUAAUACCGCAUACGAACUGAGGUUGAAAGUGGGGGACCUUCGGGCCUCACGCUAUUCGAGUGGCCGACGUCUGAUUAGCUAGUUGGUGAGGUAAAGGCUCACCAAGGCGACGAUCAGUAGCGGGUCUGAGAGGAUGAUCCGCCACACUGGGACUGAGACACGGCCCAGACUCCUACGGGAGGCAGCAGUGGGGAAUUUUGGACAAUGGGCGCAAGCCUGAUCCAGCCAUGCCGCGUGUCUGAAGAAGGCCUUCGGGUUGUAAAGGACUUUUGUCCGGGAGCAAAUGCUGGUGGCUAACAUCCACCGGAGCUGAGAGUACCGGAAGAAUAAGCACCGGCUAACUACGUGCCAGCAGCCGCGGUAAGAC